AAAUGUGUGCGCUGAGCCGAGGCCUCUAAGCGGUAGGAGAGAAUCUGACCUCCGACAUUCUUUUCAAGACACGCGCCGGUGGACCGGGUCCUGGGAUUGGCUUACUCCCGGGCUGGACCUUGGGGUUCGCAUAUUUGAAAGCGUAAACUUGAGGAAUGACGGCGGGGUGAUGGGUAUUUUAUAGAGUGGGACUCAAUCGUGCUCAGCAACAGAUUUCUCCAAAUUCCCUUUUAAAAAGAGCCUCCCAGAGCUGUCGAAAUCUCCGCGGGGUGAAAGCUAAACUUUUGGAGUCGCUGUGUAGCCGGGUAGAGGACACGGCGGCGCGAGCCGGAAAGGCAGGUUUAAUUCGGAAAGAAGAGACUGCAGAGGAGAGGGAAGACCGUGAGUCUGCUUUCACCUAGGUUUAAAGCGAAUCAAAGACGGCUGUAAAAAGGGAAACCGGGACCAAAAACAGAUUUGGAGCCUCGAAACUCUCCAUUGAAGGUUUGGAAGAUACGUUGCUGCAGACUUGAAACCGGCUCCAAAUCCGGCCCAAACAUGGGCUGAAAAUAUGGCGCGCUAAUCUGCUGCUUCCCCUCCUCCUCAAGUUCUUUCUGACUCUUCCCACCUUUCCCAGUUUCCCUUCCAGACGUCUGCGGCUCCCCACUCCACCCCCAGGAUAGCUACUCUACAUCCCGACAAUUCCCAGCUUCUACACCCAGGAGGAGGAAUUCUGGAACCACCCAGAGCGAACUCGUGCCGGGGCGGGGUGGGGACCGGAGGAAGGUCCUGCUCCGAAUUCUCUCCAGAGCAGAAAAGAAUUCUAGAGGCUACAUGUGGGCUGCUUUCCCCCCUUCUUCCUUUUUUCCCUCGCAAACCAACAACCAAAAAGUGUUUGGUGAUGGAAAGAACACCAGUGGAAAACGGCAAAUAACAGUAUUUCCAACUCCGAGUCAGGUCCUCUUUGCACUGCUUUUUCCUGUUUCAUUGCAAUUUAUUGAUUUUAUUGUGGUUUUUUGUUUAUUUGGGGCAAGAACGGAGAUGUGAACCAGGACGAGCCAGCAGACCCCCGAGCCAGUAUCUCCUCCCUGGGCAGGGAACACCGCCUGCACCGGUGCAUACUAGGAGACCCUGGCGGAGAAUGUAAACAAACCGGGCGCCGAGCCCUUGAUCUUUAUUUAAAUAGAGGCUUGUUUAUCGGUGUCAUCCUA
rnacentral:lncRNA from 1 species